rnacentral:rRNA from 1 species
GACGUAGGUGGCGAACGUUAUCCGGAAUUAUUGGGCGUAAAGGGUGCGUAGGCGGCAUGAUAAGUUAUUGGCGGGAAAUCGAGGCUCAACCUCGUGGAAACUAAUAAUACUGUUUUGCUUGAGUACAGGAGAGGUUAACGGAACUCCAUGUGGAGCGGUAAAAUGUGUAGAUAUAUGGAAGAACAUCAAUAACGGCGAAGGCAGUUAACUAUUCUGUUACUGACGUUGAGGCACGAAAGCGUGGGGAGCAAAACGG